UGAACGCUGGCGGCGUGCCUAAUACAUGCAAGUCGAACGCACAGCGAUAGGUGCUUGCACCUAUCAAGUGAGUGGCGAACGGGUGAGUAACACGUGGACAACCUGCCUCAAGGCUGGGGAUAACAUUUGGAAACAGAUGCUAAUACCGAAUAAAACUUAGUGUCGCAUGACACCAGGUUAAAAGGCGCUACGGCGUCACCUAGAGAUGGAUCCGCGGUGCAUUAGUUAGUUGGUGAGGUAAAGGCUCACCAAGACAAUGAUGCAUAGCCGAGUUGAGGGACUGAUCGGCCACAUUGGGACUGAGACACGGCCCAAACUCCUACGGGAGGCUGCAGUAGGGAAUCUUCCACAAUGGGCGCAAGCCUGAUGGAGCAACGCCGCGUGUGUGAUGAAGGCUUUCGGGUCGUAAAGCACUGUUGUAUGGGAAGAACAGCUAGAAUAGGGAAUGAUUUUAGUGUGACGGUACCAUACCAGAAAGGGACGGCUAAAUACGUG
rnacentral:rRNA from 1 species